AGGAGCCGGAUGCAGGAAAGCCUGCAAGUCCGGCUCUGUGAGGGGGCGUCGAGCGAUCGACGCCUCUACUCGAC
rnacentral:ncRNA from 1 species